CUUGAUCUACAACAACAAAGAGCUCCAAUCUCUUAAUUUCCCCCAUAACUGAAGCAUGAUGAGAACUAGCUAGCUAGCCAUAAGCGGCAAACAAACGGCCAACGAAAAUAACAGUCAAAGGAAAUGAAAAAAAAAACACAAAAACAAACAAUAAAACAGAGUUGCCGUAUGUUGGUGAGAUCGAUCUCUCUCUAUAUUCGUUCAUGUGAAUGAAAUUUGUAGCGUUGCCAGUAUUUCUCAAACUGUAAAUGCCCAAUAUGCAUGUCUCGCCGAAGACUAGUUAACUAAGCGAUAGAACAACUUAUGGUACAUUAACUGAAGGUAGUAAAAGGUGAAUUUCAGAGAAGAAGAGAUUUUAAGAAUUUAAGUGCUAUAGGAAGUCCAUUGAGCUGUAUAGCAUGUUGAAGCCACAUGUUAUCAUCUUUGAAGGAGUACGAUCUAAUGAUACCACCAGCCCGUAACCUGCCGCAAACAGUGACUUUCUGGAUGCGUAUUUAACUUUCAUAAGGCUUAUCGCUGAUCUGCACUACAAAAUCGACAACUCUGUUUAUUUAUGUACCCAUUGGACAAAAAUGAGCUUCAUCGCUUAACAAAAUAAAAUUUAAUAAUUUGCAA